rnacentral:tRNA from 1 species
UCUCUGUUAGUAUAUCGGUUAGUACACGCGCCUGUCAGGGCUCGAUAUUGUCCGCCGAACGCGCGAAAGCGGGGUUCGACUCCCCGACAGAGAG